AUUGAACGCUGGCGGCAGGCCUAACACAUGCAAGUCGAACGAGUGGCGGACGGGUGAGUAAUGUCUGGGAAACUGCCUGAUGGAGGGGGAUAACUACUGGAAACGGUAGCUAAUACCGCAUACCAUCGGAUGUGCCCAGAUGGGAUUAGCUAGUAGGUGGGGUAAAGGCUCACCUAGGCGACGAUCCCUAGCUGGUCUGAGAGGAUGACCAGCCACACUGGGACUGAGACACGGUCCAGACUCCUACGGGAGGCAGAAGUGGGGAAUAUUGCACAAUGGGCGAAAGCCUGAUGAAGCAAUGCCGCGUGAGUGAAGAAGGCUUUCGGGUUGUAAAGCACUUUCAUCGGGGAGGCGUUACCCGCCGAAAAAGCAACGGCUAACUCCGUGCCAGCAGCCGCGGUAAUAC
rnacentral:rRNA from 1 species